rnacentral:lncRNA from 1 species
GCCGAGUUCCAGCCAAUCACAGGCAUCCGCAGAACCCGGGACGGAAGGAACAUGCAGUUUCAGACUUAACUUUCGGCGGGCUCCCGGGUUCCCAGUGCUUCUUUGCUUAAGCUGCUAAGGGUAACAUAUUAACAUAUUUCACCGAUGAGGAAAUGUCGCUUGCUUCCGUUCUGUGCGUCGUGGACAGAUGGCGUCCCAAAGCACUGAAGCUCCUAGAGGAUACGUGUCAGUAUCCUGCUCUGGAAAAGAUGCGGAUGGCUGUUUUCCCAAACUCCGUCCUUGGGUAUCUGCUCACCCUUAUGCUUCUGCAGCUGCCCACACUGGAUGCAGACACAAGCCAAGAGUCAAUGCAAGCAAUGGUAGUUCACAUCCUUACCUCAAAAGGAAAUUGUCCAAAAUUUUAAUCAUUAUUAUAACUCUCCCUCUUACCCAAUUUGGAGUUUCUCGAUGGUUGCAGUAUUCCUGGGACUCACUGGAAUAUUUGUCUGUUGGCAACUGUAUAGAAAACGUGUAA